AUUGAACGCUGGCGGCAUGCCUUACACAUGCAAGUCGAACGGUAACGGGCCUUCGGGUGCCGACGAGUGGCGAACGGGUGAGUAAUAUAUCGGAACGUACCUUUCAGUGGGGGAUAACGUAGCGAAAGUUACGCUAAUACCGCAUAUUCUGUGCGCAGGAAAGCAGGGGACCUUCGGGCCUUGCGCUGAUUGAGCGGCCGAUAUCAGAUUAGCCAGUUGGUGAGGUAAAGGCUCACCAAGGCGACGACCUGUAGCGGGUCUGAGAGGAUGAUCCGCCACACUGGAACUGAGACACGGUCCAGACUCCUACGGGAGGCAGCAGUGGGGAAUUUUGGACAAUGGGGGCAACCCUGAUCCAGCCAUGCCGCGUGAGUGAAGAAGGCCUUCGGGUUGUAAAGCUCUUUCGGCCGGGAAGAAAUCGUAUGGGCUAAUACCCUGUGCGGAUGACGGUACCGGCAUAAGAAGCACCAGCUAACUACGUGCCAGCCGCCGCAGUAAGAC
rnacentral:rRNA from 1 species